GAUCUGAAGUCUAAGUUGUUAACGGAUAUGAUAUGGGAAGGUUGAGCUGCUGUUUAUCUGUUCCUAGAGAUGCUAGAAUUUUGGAGAAUUUUAUCUUUGAAAAUCUUAAAAAUGUUGCAUGAUGAGUUCCUGUAUGAUGAGAGUUUUAAAUUCCUACCACAGCCAUAUAUACAUGCUUGCUAGACUUUGAGCCACACAUUUACUAUUUACUGCUUAUGAGCAUUGAGUGUGGUCAAGCUGUGUAGACCCUUAGGAGCUUGUCAUGUGGUUAAAUCAAGAUUCACUUGCACGUUCACUCAUAUAUGCUACUUCUACUCCGGAAGUACCAUCCACAUAUAUCCACCCAUUCCAUCUCCAGAAUCACCUAAAAAUAUUCUACUCCUAAUCCGAGAGAGAAUAACCAAAAAUAUUUCUGUUUCCCUUGUGAAAUAAAUGCUCAAGUUAUCUUUUUACUACCACUUGCUAUAUUAUCUCAAGAGAUGAGUGCUCUAAAAAAAAGGGAAAAAAAUAUAUACGAGGAAAUAAAAAGGAGCAAGUGCUCGGAACCUCGAAAGAACAGAAAAGUAAGACGAGAGGUAAAAAUGGACAAGUGUCCCACAGUAGAAUUAGGGGUACAAGAUACCCACCUGAGAGAAAAAAGAGAAGAGCAUCUCAUUCUCCUCAUAAAGUUUCAAAAAAGCAAGGAAGGUAUGUAUCCCCACAAAAGAGCAAAGUAGAAUUAGACUUCCACCAUUGUUAUCACCAUCAUCACCAUACACCAUUCAUUCGCCACACAUGCACAUCUUGAUUUGGCUUAUUGAUUUGUUUCUUUGGAUCCAUGGUUUGACUAUGCAAUAAAUGUUUUGUAAGUAUGUAUACUUUAUCUCCCACCUAUGAGCUCCAGAUAUUAAAGCCUUAUUAUAGUAGGAUGAGAGAGAAGGCAAUGUCACUAUGCUUUAUACCACAAUUACUACAUAUUUUGAGAGAAGGCAUAUACCAUCACUGCCUUGGUAAGGAUCCAGAAAUACCACCAAAG
rnacentral:lncRNA from 1 species